rnacentral:rRNA from 1 species
AUGCCGGAGGGGGCGACGGCAUUGGAGAUCCCCUCCGACCGCCCGGCGUUCUUAACCAGCCUGUCCUACGGCGGGGGCCCUCCGGCCGCUACGGCGGUCUUCCUCCCCCGGGAGACGCUCACGGUCACGGGAUCCCCGGCCACAAUCAGUGUGUACUUCAAUUUCGUCCUCGACCCCGAGCUGGAGCACUACUGGCGGCGCCUUGCGUACGCCUACAUCACCCCACUGGACCUGCCGCAGAACUUCGAGCUCCUCCCUCCCGAACACGGCGCCGACAUGGCUGUGCUCUUCCGCACACCCGACUUCCGGGAGGCGGCCCUGCUGCGGCAGCCGUUCGUGCUCGACGGCGUCACCGUGAAGCUCCUGCGCGACGGGGAGACCCCCGACACCAUUCGAGUGUCGACUGACUACCUUGUCCAUGCCGCCCUGCGAGAUUACCCCAUUGAGCAGCGCACAGAGAAGGGGAUCAGGUGGAACUGCUGCAGAUUCGGGUACGUGCGCGAGAUCGACCCGGCCUGCUUCGUGGCGCCCGACCUAGCCACUGUCCGCGUCGUCCUUGAGCUGGAGCACCCUCGAGAGAUCCCCCACGAGCUCCGGAUUGACUACAGUGACGAUGAUGGCCCCACCAGCGUCGUCCCCGUCGAGAUCGUCAGGGUUUGGCAUCACUCACACUCCGACGACGCCAAUGGACAGUACCUGCCUCUCUUCCAGUCCCUGGUUGCGGCUGCUUGA